rnacentral:lncRNA from 1 species
GGGAGGAGGGGGCGAUGAGUGAAGCCGUGUCCUCUCUGUAGGGGAGAGGGUGGUGGGACUUGAGGGGGAAUUCCCCUGUAGAUGCGAGGUCUCAGGUGUGUAUUUAACCCUGGGGAAGAGGAGGGACUUUGCCUGCAGUGCGGUAGCAGGGGAACGUUGUCCCUGAGGCACAGGCAGGAAGGAUAUUUGUCCCUGGGAUGAGGUCAAGGGAGGGCUUUUGCCCCGGGGAGGAGAGUGUGGGAGGUGCUGGCACUCGGGCUGGGGAGCAGUGGCUGCCCCUGGGGAGGAAGGUGGUGAUAUUUCUCUGUCCCUUGGAGAGCAGAGUCUUUGCCCCAGGGAGAAGGGCACUUGCCCCCAGGGCAUGGGAAGAAGAUGAGGACACCCUGGGGGUGUCUCUGCCUCAUGUCUUGGGGAUGCCCCCAACUUGCCCCUCUUGCCAGCAGUCCAGCCUUGCCAGCCCCUCUGUGGCACCUACCUCGACUGGCACUCUCCCCACAACUACUGAGCCCCUGUGCGAGGAGGUCCGGGCCCCCGACAGCCCCACCAGCGCCCUGGAGCCCCACGACCUGCUGCGCUGUCCCCUGGGCAGCUCCCUGCUCAGCACCGCGCUCCUGGGCAAUGUACCGGUGCUGAGCCCCCUGCUCCAGAACCAGCCGCUGCUGCCCCCCCUGGAAGUGUCGCUGGGUCCGGGCUUCCCCCUCAGCACCACGGGCUACCUGGCCAGCCUGCUCCAGAGCCUGCAGCUGGGCCCCAGAUUCAGCUGCCCCGAGAAGUCAGCGAUGCUGUUGGGUCCCAGCGCUGGAGGCUUCCCAAGUGCCCCUGCACUUCCCGGCCCCCCUGAGGGCACCCCACGUGCCUUAGAGCCCCCUGUGCCCCGUCUGGCUGAGCUGGGCAGCCCCAGACCCAGUGGGGGUGCCCAGGAGUGCCCAUCCUCACGGCCCCCCCUCAAGCGGGGCCGCCGGCGGGAUGAGGGGCUCAACAGGGAGAUGCAGUCCCUUUGUGGGCCCCCCAGCACCAAGACCCCCCGGCGUGGGGCUGGCCGGGGGGGCUGGGGCACUCGGCGGCACUUCAAUGGGCAGGCAAGUGACAGGAGCGGGAAGGGGCUUCCCCCUGCAGCCUCCCCAGCCCCCCACUCUGCCUGGCACCGCAGCAGGGACAUCCCGGCCACGGGGCAGCAGCUCAGAGUGGAGGAGAUCAAGGGGAACUCUCCGCGGCUGCGCCCGUCCUGCCGGGGCUGGAGGAGGAAGGCCAGCAUCCCCCAGACCAGCGCCUGCCUGGAGACUCCGCAGCGGAGGGGGCUCAGCGCCGGCCCCGGGGCUGGUCCUGCCGCGGACCUGGCUGUGGCGCGGUGGCCUGGACGCCCUGUCAAGAACCGCCGGAGGAAGCUGCUGACGUGACGGUGCUGGGGUGGGGACACCCCCAGCACCAGCUGAUGGAAUGGGGGGGGGGUCACAGCUCCCUCGCCCCCCACUGCUGCAGGCCACAGGCACUCCCAGCUGUGGGCACGUCCCCGUCGCCUGGCAGUGUUUUGUGGGGGCUGAACUGGAGUCGGGGGUUAAUCUAGGCACAUGGCCCCCUCCCCAGAUGAAGCACUUCUGAAGCCAUUUUCCAUAGGGGGUGGGUCGGUGGUGAGUCCCCACCCCUGCCUUCCCUCAGGGAAGCCCCUGUGCUGAGGGGACAGGGUUGGUGCUCGGGGACAUUUCCAGGCCCCCCCCCGGCCCCAGGGGGCUGGCUGUUCUCCGUCCCUGUCCAUCCCACCUCCCCAUUACCUCAGGCCCUGGGGGCGUCGUGGCCCCAGGGUCAGUUCUGCUCAGGGUUAGUUUAGCACGAGGUCCUCUGUCACCAAAAACGAGGUUCCCCCCCCUUUCCCGUCCCCCAGUACCAGCAAUAAUCAUCUCCACCACCCCUGGGGGGGCCUGUGUGUCCCUGCCCUGGGUUGUCCCUGUCACCACACACACACACACACACACUACCCCCAGCCCCACAGGUGGUAACGAGGAGACGUGUCACCCCCCCAACCCUUCCCCCCCACCCCCGUGGGUUGCAGCUUUCCAACAGUGGAUUUACUGCACUGGGGAGGCUGUGGGGGUGGCAGGGGGGUUUAUGCACCAUUAAAAGAUGCAUUUAAAACCCCAGGACUGGGCCCUGCUCAUGCCCUGAGGUGAUGCCAGCGUAGACAUCCUUUGAGCUGGACUGUCUGUUGGUAUAAAUUCAAAUAGCAGGGGGGCACAGUGAUCCCCCCUGGGUGGGAAUGAAGGAUGGGAGGAUUCCCAGGGGGUUGCAGGGCCGUGGGGUGGGAUGCCUGGGGGGGUCUCUCACUUCUGCAUCCACUUUAUGCAGGCUUGUGUCAGCCAACUCUUCUGCAACGGGCAGGUGUUUCCUCCUUCUGCCUGUGAU